GACGAACGCUGGCGGCGUGCUUAACACAUGCAAGUCGAACGGAAAGGCCCUGCUUUUGGGGGGUGCUCGAGUGGCGAACGGGUGAGUAACACGUGAGUAACCUGCCCUUGACUCUGGGAUAACUUCAGGAAACUGGGGCUAAUACCGGAUAGGAGCUCCUGCUGCAUGGUGGGGGUUGGAAAGUUUCGGCGGUUGGGGAUGGACUCGCGGCUUAUCAGCUUGUUGGUGGGGUAGUGGCUUACCAAGGCUUUGACGGGUAGCCGGCCUGAGAGGGUGACCGGCCACAUUGGGACUGAGAUACGGCCCAGACUCCUACGGGAGGCAGCAGUGGGGAAUAUUGCACAAUGGGCGGAAGCCUGAUGCAGCAACGCCGCGUGCGGGAUGACGGCCUUCGGGUUGUAAACCGCUUUCGCCUGUGACGAAGCGUGAGUGACGGUAAUGGGUAAAGAAGCACCGGCUAACUACGUG
rnacentral:rRNA from 1 species